UGAAGGAGUUGGAGGUGCUAGAUUUUGGACUCAAUAACUUCACUGGGCCUCUUCCACCUGAUCUUGGCAGUAAUCUCUCUCUGACAAUCCUUCUCCUGGACAACAACAGGCUUCUUGGCAACUUAUCACCUGAAAUUCAUCACCUGAAAACACAUUCUGAAUUUCAAGCAGAUGAAAACCAACUUGCUAGUGCUGCUAAAGGAUCAUCUUGCAAUAAAAGAUCUGCCAUAUGGAAUGCUGUGCAAGCUGAAAAUGCAAUUAACAAGCGACAGCUGCUAGCAGCCAGUGCCCCUGGAGUAAAUGAAUCACCAUAUUUACGAGGCCAUAAAUUUGUUCCAUUAACACCUACUGAAUCUGGAAAUGCUCCACCUAGUAUUGUGGCGCCACCAUCCUUGCCUUUGCCACCUCCACUGGAACCAAAUCCGCCUUCCUCGUCAAAAAGCCAUGUUGCAAUAAUUGCUGGAGCCAUAGGGGGUGCUCUACUUGUCAUGUCCAUUAUCGUCAUCUAUAUUUGUAAAGUUAACAAGGCUACUGUCAAACCUUGGGCCACAGGAUUGAGUGGACAACUUCAGAAAGCAUUUAUAACCGGUGUGCCAAAGCUUAAGAGAUCUGAGCUUGAAGCAGGCUGUGAAG
rnacentral:misc_RNA from 1 species